GAUUAAGGCAACAAGGAACACCUGGACUGAUUACCUGUCCGCCACAGCUGUGUGUGCUUGUUGGCAAGACUGCUCUGUGGAGCUAAUGUCAUCCAACCUCUAUCAGCUGCCCAAAAUGGAAGUGUCCAGGGAGUUGUUGAAGGUGAUGCAGGCUGGAUGCGGCUUAAUGAGAAGCUGGAAAUGUGGACGAGUUCCAACACUUCAAAGCCACGGCGAGAGACACAGAUCAGCGUGUGGCUCUCACCAGAUGACUGAAAGGCUAAUGAAUGGGCAGGCAUGAUACAGCUGGAAAGCCAAAUGAAUGGUUUCCCCAUGAGAUUUACAUUUCCAGAUGAAACGGGACAAGGAUUCAGGCACUGGCUGCAUAAGCCCGACUUCAGCAUGCCAAGGGAGCAGCUCUGAUUUUGAAAAAUAUAUAAAUAAAGGAUUCUAAUUUCUAUUAA